UACAGAGGUGCCAAGCGUUGUUCGGAUUUAUUGGGCGUAAAGGGUGCGUAGGCGGUCAUGCAAGUCGGAUGUGAAAUCCCGGAGCCUAACUCCGGAAUGGCAUUCGAAACUGCAUGGCUAGAGAUCUGGAGAGGUGACUGGAAUUCUCGGUGUAGCAGUGAAAUGCGUAGAUAUCGAGAGGAACACCAGAGGCGAAAGCGGGUCACUGGACAGAAUCUGACGCUGAGGCACGAAAGCUAGGGGAGCAAAC
rnacentral:rRNA from 1 species